ensembl:lncRNA
UGUUUGUUAUUGGUAGAACAACGCUGAGACCAAGAUCAGGCCCAGCUGUGCUCUGUGUUUGACAGUUGUAAGGAAAAGACAGCUUCUCCCCCCAGAAAGCUCAACACUUGAAGACUGCAAUGAGAAACAACAGAUGGAGACAGAAUCAUGGACUAUAUGGGACAGCAGGGGACAGUAGCGGAGUUUCGUCUUUCUCAUAAUAGGAGCUGGAACCCUGGGUUUGACCCACACGACCACCUGCAAAGCUUUGAGCCACGGGGUGCUUCCAGCCUGAGGAUACACUGAGGCGCACUGAGGAAGGAUCCACAGCCUGUCGUACAUUUGUGAUCUAUAUCCACUUAAUUAAAGGCUCAUUCAUGGCCUGGGUGCACACAGCCCUGCUGGGAUGUGAGCUGUCCUCCGUGUCAAAGGGCUCAGUGUUUUUCCAGGAUUUGAGGGAUGGUGACUCCCCGCCUCCCUGGGCAGCUGUGCCACUGCAUCACCACUCUUUCUGAGAAGAAAUUGUUCCUAACACCCAAACUGAGCCUCCCCUGACACUGCAUAAGGCCUCUCAUCCUACGAAGACCAAGUCGUCUUCUCCAUCCUUCUUACUGCACUGUGCCCCUUUCCAUCUCGCCAGUACCAAGGCACACCAAGAGGAUGUCAGUGAAGCUGGCUGGGUUGUAUCGAUGGAAAUACGACAUGAGAGAGAUUUUUCAGCUGCAGUUCUUGGCACAGCAUUGUUGCAAUGGUUUUGUUCUGAG